rnacentral:rRNA from 1 species
GACGAACGCUGGCGGCGCGCCUAACACAUGCAAGUCGAACGGGGUCUUUUAGGAGCUUGCUCCUGGCAGACCUAGUGGCGGACGGGUGAGUAACACGUGAGCAACCUGCCGAAGAGUGGGGGAUAACGUUUGGAAACGAACGCUAAUACCGCAUAACAUCCCAAGAUGGCAUCAUAUUGGGAUCAAAGGAGCAAUCCGCUUUUCGAUGGGCUCGCGCCCGAUUAGAUAGUUGGUGAGGUAAUGGCUCACCAAGUCGACGAUCGGUAGCCGGACUGAGAGGUUGAACGGCCACAUUGGGACUGAGACACGGCCCAGACUCCUACGGGAGGCAGCAGUGGGGAAUAUUGCACAAUGGGGGAAACCCUGAUGCAGCGACGCCGCGUGAGUGAAGACGGCCUUCGGGUUGUAAAGCUCUGUUAUGAGGGACGAUAAUGACGGUACCUCAUUAGAAAGCCACGGCUAACUACGUGCCAGCCGCCGCAGUAAGAC